GCAAGUCGAGCGCACUCUUCGGAGUGAGCGGCGGAAGGGUUAGUAACGCGUUGGAAUUUACCCAGAUCUAAGGAAUAGCCUCGGGAAACUGAGAGUAAUACCUUAUACGCCCUUCGGGGGAAAGAUUUAUCGGAUUUGGAUUAGCCCGCGUUAGAUUAGAUAGUUGGUGGGGUAAUGGAGUACCAAGGCUACGAUCUAUAGCUGGUUUGAGAGGAUGAUC
rnacentral:rRNA from 1 species